rnacentral:lncRNA from 1 species
AUGGAUGGUGUGCCCGCAGAGCUGUUGGCUGAAAAUCUUCAGAAAGCAGCUAGAACCAUCCUUGUUUCCACAGGACCUUUAACCCACAGUGAAGGAUUCUGUACAGAAUAUGGCACUUAUAGCUGCCACUGCUGCCAUCAGAAGUGCUUAUUUUGCCAAUGGAAUUUAAAUGACAUCUGGAUGUGAGCCUUGCCUCAACACUGCAGCCUGGAAAUGGCAGAAUCCCUAGCAUGAAAAAGCUUGGAUAGCAAGUGCUACAGUGAGACAAGGAGACUGCGUAGGA